rnacentral:lncRNA from 1 species
AUGGGGGAUCUCCUCAGUUCAUCUUUCAGAGCCACAGAACACAGGCCCAAGGGCUCACCCGUCGCUGCUCCUGGGAGAAGACCUCAGCCACCGGGGCCUGGCUGGCCAGGACCCUCCAAUCCACCUGGGGUCUGCCAGGUACCGGUCCACCCGGCGGGAGAGUCCGAGCCUCAGUUCCCAAAACUGCCUCCGCCACCCCACCCCACCAACCGGCCCUGCCUCCGGCUCACGGCUGCCCUCGGGGCUCCGGAAUUUGCUACUCUUUUUCUUGGGAGGGUUUCCAGCCCCGGGGCCUCGGCCUCCACCUCUAGGGCCAUGGAAGGAUCGUUUCAACCAGAGGGGAGGGGGACAGAAUCCCACAAGCCAAAGCUACACAGCUCUCUCCACAUCCCAUCCCCUUCCUGCACUCUCCCAACUGCAGCACUACCACAUUCAUACUUUAUUUUUCAAGAAGGAAAUUAUCAAAAGAAAAGAAAACACACACACACACACACACACACACACACACACACACACAAGGUCCCCAUAAACCUGCAGAGUUUAGAGCCGGGGAAUAUAUUAAAAUUUUCCAUCAUGGAAAUUUCCCAGCCUUCUAAGCUCUUUGGUGCGUUUUUUUUUCCCCCUUUCUUUGCAGGACUGCAAGCAAAGAAUGGAAAUUUCCAAAUAGCAGCAUCAAGGGCUGCGGUGGUGCUGACAGUCUCGCUGUGCUGGGGGUCAUCUGCUUCUCCGAGGUCUGACGGGAGGCGAGGUUGGCCCGGCCUCCCUGGUCAAGGGCUCUCUGCCACCGCCUCUCGGAUCUUCCUGGGGACGGCGGGCGGGACCCCCGACUCCACUGGCCCGUCGGCCGGGCUCGGAGAUGCUCUUUUGGUGAGAUGGGUGGGCCUCUCUCCCCCGAAUCCCUCUGCUGGAGAGGAGCUGCGGUCGCCACCGUGGGACCACCUUCGGGGACCUACCCACGGCUCAGUCCCGGAGAUUGCACAAGGGUUUUGUAGGAUCGGGUGUGGCCUCGAGGGGCCCCGAGAGGCCUCGGCCAGCCGGCUGCUCUGCAGCCUCCUCCUCGAGGCUCCGCUCCUUUUCUCUACAUCGUUGCCCACAUAA